CAGACAGCUCCACGUACCUCUAAACAUGGGAAAUUCAGCAUGUUGCUACAUAACUCCAGGCCUGGGGGCAGAAUUGGAGGGAAGGCUCCAGAUCUUAAGUCUCAGAAGGAACCUCACGCUUCCAUGCCACAGGGAUAUGUCGUCACUGGAAAGGAAGACAUUCCCAGGCCUCUAAUUCUGUUCUUAACAGCCACUGGACAGACCUGCAGCUGACCUACCAGCAGCAGUCAACGACAGCUGAGAUUGGCAAGAGACUGAAAAGGGAACGUGGAGGCUGCCCCUUCUUGUGGCAUAUUAGCAGACCCUGCAUUUGUACAGAAUGCUUUAUAACCAACAACAGGUCUUCUGUUCUGAAUUUGUCUAACCUAUUUUGGAUUCAUUUAUUUUCUGAAUUUUACAGAAAAAAAAAUUAGGAAAAAAAAGGUGACAACGAGCUCCACAAUUUCAUUAUG
rnacentral:lncRNA from 1 species